rnacentral:rRNA from 1 species
GUCCACGCCGUAAACGAUGGACACUAGGCGUCGGGGGGAGCGACCCCCUCAGUGCCGUCGCUAACGCAGUAAGUGUCCCGCCUGGGGAGUACGGCCGCAAGGCUGAAACUCAAAGGAAUUGACGGGGGCCCGCACAAGCGGUGGAGCAUGUGGUUUAAUUCGAAGCAACGCGAAGAACCUUACCUGUGCUUGACAUGCUGGUGAAAGCCGGUGGAAACAUCGGCCCCUCUUCGGAGCGCCAGCACAGGUGCUGCAUGGCUGUCGU